rnacentral:rRNA from 1 species
UACGUAGGGUGCGAGCGUUAAUUGGAAUUACUGGGCGUAAAGCGUGCGCAGGCGGUGAUGUAAGACAGGUGUGAAAUCCCCGGGCUUAACCUGGGAACUGCAUUUGUGACUGCAUCGCUGGAGUGCGGCAGAGGGGGAUGGAAUUCCGCGUGUAGCAGUGAAAUGCGUAGAUAUGCGGAGGAACACCGAUGGCGAAGGCAAUCCCCUGGACCUGCACUGACGCUCAUGCACGAAAGCGUGGGGAGCAAACAGG